rnacentral:rRNA from 1 species
AUUGAACGCUGGCGGCAGGCCUAACACAUGCAAGUCGAACGGAUCCUUCGGGGACAGUGGCAGACGGGUGAGUAACGCGUGGGAAUGUACCUUGUGGUACGGAAAAAGCAAGGGAAACUAUGGCAAAUACCGUAUGAGCUCUUCGGGGGAAAGAUUUAUCGCCAUAAGAUGAGCCCGCGUAGGUUUAGCGAGUGGGUGAGGUAAAGGCUCACCAAGUCGACGAUCCUUAGCUGGUCUGAGAUGAGGACCAGCCACACUGGGACUGAGACACGGCCCAAACUGUUGCGGGAGGCGGGAGUGUGGAAUAUUGGACGAUGGGCGAAAGCAUGACCCAGGCAUGCCGCGUGUGUGAUGACGGGCUUAUGGUUGUAAAGCACGUUCGCCGAUGAAGAUGAUGGCUGUAGUCGGAGAAGAAGCCCCGGCUAACUUCGUGCCAGCAGCCGCAGUAA